rnacentral:rRNA from 1 species
CAGUAGCCGCGGUAAUACAGAGGGUGCAAGCGUUAAUCGGAAUUACUGGGCGUAAAGCGCGCGUAGGUGGUUUGUUAAGUUGGAUGUGAAAGCCCCGGGCUCAACAUGGGAACUGCAUCCAAAACUGGCAAGCUAGAGUACGGUAGAGGGUGGUGGAAUUUCCUGUGUAGCGGUGAAAUGCGUAGAUAUAGGAAGGAACACCAGUGGCGAAGGCGACCACCUGGACUGAUACUGACACUGAGGUGCGAAAGCGUGGGGAGCAAACAGGAUUAGAUACCCCCGUAGUCCCUGUCUCUUAUAC